rnacentral:rRNA from 1 species
GAGACCCACGCCCACAGUUGCCAGCGUAUCCUCAGGGAUGACGGGUACACUGUGGGGACCGCCGCUGCUAAAGCGGAGGAAGGAAUGGGCAACGGUAGGUCAGUAUGCCCCGAAUGCCCCGGGCUACACGCGAGCUACAAUGACUGGUACAAUGGGUAUCUACCCCGAAAGGGGAUGGAAAUCUCCUAAAGCCAGCCCUAGUUCGGAUCGAGGGCUGUAACUCGCCCUCGUGAAGCUGGAAUCCGUAGUAAUCGCAUAUCAAAAUGGCGCGGUGAAUAU